rnacentral:rRNA from 1 species
AAUGAACGUUGGCGGCGUGGAUUAGGCAUGCAAGUCGUGCGGCAGCAGGCCCCGCAAGGGGUGCUGGCGAGCGGCGAAAGGGAUAGUAAUGUGUGGGUACCUGCCCUGGGGACGGGGAUAGCUGCUGGAAACGGCAAUUAAUACCCGAUGAUGUUUCCGGACCAAAGGUGUAAUUCCGCCCUAGGAGGGGUCCACAUCCUAUUAGCUAGUUGGUGAGGUAACGGCUCACCAAGGCCACGAUGGGUAGCGGGUGUGAGAGCACGACCCGCAUCACUGGGACUGAGACACUGCCCAGACACCUACGGGUGGCUGCAGUCGAGGAUCUUCGGCAAUGAGCGAAAGCUUGACCGAGCGACGCCGCGUGCGGGAUGAAGGCCUUCGGGUUGUAAACCGCUUUCGGAGGGGAGGGAAUCUAGGGGGGAUCACCCUUCUAGUUGACCUAUCCUAGGAAGAAGGACGGGCUGAGUUCGUGCCAGCCGCCGCGGUAAUAC